AUUUAAAUAGCCGCAGUAUUUUGACUGUGCGAAGGUAGCAUAAUCAUUUGUCUUUUAAUUGAAGGCUUGUAUGAAUGGCUGGAUGAGGGAGUAACUUUCUUUACAUUAAUUGGUUGAAUUUAAUUUUUAAGUUAAAAAGCUUAAAUUUUUAAGUGGGACGAGAAGACCCUAUAGAAUUUUAUUUUUAUGUUAUUCUUAAUUAUUUUAGUGAUUAGAUAAUAAGUUUAAUUAUAAAUUUUGUUGGGGUGACAGUGAGAUUUGUUUAACUCUCAUAUAUUAUAUUUUAUUUAUGAUUAUUUUAAAGAUCCUAUUUUACGGAUAAUUAGAUCAAAUUACCUUAGGGAUAACAGCGUUAUUCUUCUUGAGAGUUCAUAUCGAUGGAGGGGUUUGCGACCUCGAUGUUGGAUUAAAAUUAGACUUAAGU
rnacentral:rRNA from 1 species